UACGUAGGGGGCAAGCGUUGUCCGGAUUUAUUGGGCGUAAAAGGCUUGUAGGUGGCCACGCCAAGUCGGAUGUGAAAUCUCCCGGCUCAACUGGGAGGGGUCAUUCGAUACUGGCGGGCUCGAGGCCGGUAGGGGGAAGUGGAAUUCCCGGUGUAGCGGUGAAAUGCGUAGAUAUCGUAAGGAAGACCAGUGGCGAAGGCGGGUCUCUGGACAGUUCCUGACGCUGAGGCACGAAGGCCAGGGGAGCAAACGGG
rnacentral:rRNA from 1 species